rnacentral:misc_RNA from 1 species
UUUCCGUAGGUGAACCUGCGGAAGGAUCAUUACUGAGUGCGGGCCCUCUGGGUCCAACCUCCCACCCGUGUAUACUUACCGUGUUGCUUCGGCGGGCCCGCCUGCCAGGCCGCCGGGGGGCAACCGCCCCCGGGCCCGCGCCCGCCGAAGACCCCCACGAACUCUUUCUACCUUGCAGUCUGAGCGAUAAGCAUAAAUUAUUAAAACUUUCAACAACGGAUCUCUUGGUUCCG